rnacentral:rRNA from 1 species
AAAAGGGGGGCAACUCCCUGAGUAAAGCGGCGCACGGGUGAGUAACACGUAGGUAAUCUCCCCUCGAGCCUGGAAUAACCUACCGAAAGGUGGGCUAAUACCGGAUAUGACCACGGAAGUUUCGGCUUCUGCGGUGAAAGAUGGCCUCUAUUUAUAAGCUAUCACUCAAGGAUGAGCCUGCGUGCCAUUAGCUAGUUGGUGGGGUAAUGGCCCACCAAGGCUAUGAUGGCUAGCUGGUCUGAGAGGAUGGCCAGCCACACUGGGACUGAAACACGGCCCAGACUCCUACGGGAGGCAGCAGUGGGGGAUAUUGCGCAAUGGGCGAAAGCCUGACGCAGCGACGCCGCGUGGGUGAUGAAGGCCUUCGGGUCGUAAAGCCCUGUCGAGGGGAAAGAAUCGAUUGCGACCUAAUACGUCGUGAUCCUGACGGUACCCCUAAAGGAAGCACCGGCUAACUCCGUGCCAGCAGCCGCGGUAAUACGGAGGGUGCGAGCGUUGUUCGGAAUCACUGGGCGUAAAGCGCGUGUAGGCGGCCCACUAAGUCUGAUGUGAAAGCCCGGGGCUCACCCCCGGAAGUGCAUUGGAAACUGGUGGACUCGAGUCCCGGAGAGGAGAGUGGAAUUCCUGGUGUAGCGGUGAAAUGCGUAGAUAUCAGGAGGAACACCGGUGGCGAAGGCGGCUCUCUGGACGGUGACUGACGCUGAGACGCGAAAGCGUGGGGAGCAAACAGGAUUAGAUACCCUGGUAGUCCACGCCGUAAACGAUGAGCACUAGGUGUCGCGGGUAUUGACCCCUGCGGUGCCGACGCUAACGCAUUAAGUGCUCCGCCUGGGGAAUACGGCCGCAAGGUUAAAACUC